rfam:Venezuelan equine encephalitis virus strain ZPC738, complete genome.
AUGGGCGGCGCAUGAGAGAAGCCCACACCAAUUACCUACCCAAAAAUGGAGAAAGUUCACGUUGACAUCGAGGAAGACAGCCCAUUCCUCAGAGCUUUGCAACGGAGCUUCCCGCAGUUUGAGGUAGAAGCCAAGCAGGUCACUGAUAAUGACCAUGCUAAUGCCAGAGCGUUUUCGCAUCUGGCUUCAAAACUGAUCGAAACGGAGGUGGACCCAUCCGACACGAUCCUUGACAUUGGAAGUGCGCCCGCCCGCAGAAU